rnacentral:rRNA from 1 species
AGUGAACGCUGGCGGUAGGCCUAACACAUGCCAGUCGAACGGCAGCACAGUAAGAGCUUGCUCUUACGGGUGGCGAGUGGCGGACGGGUGAGGAAUACAUCGGAAUCUACUUUUUCGUGGGGGAUAACGUAGGGAAACUUACGCUAAUACCGCAUACGACCUACGGGUGAAAGCAGGGGAUCUUCGGACCUUGCGCGAUUGAAUGAGCCGAUGUCGGAUUAGCUAGUUGGCGGGGUAAAGGCCCACCAAGGCGACGAUCCGUAGCUGGUCUGAGAGGAUGAUCAGCCACACUGGAACUGAGACACGGUACAGACUCCUACGGGAGGCAGCAGUGGGGACUAUUGGACAAUGGGCGCAAGCCUGAUCCAGCCAUACCGCGUGGGUGCAGAAGGCCUUCGGGUUGUAAAGCCCUUUUGUUGGGAAAGAAAAGCAGCAGGUUAAUACCCCGCUGUUCUGACGGUACCCAAAGAAUAAGCACCGGCUAACUUCGUG